rnacentral:rRNA from 1 species
GAAAUUGAAGAAGGGCGCAUGGUGGAUGCCUAGGCUCAAGGAGGCGAUGAAGGACGUGGGAAGCUGCGAUAAUCUGCGGUUAGGCGCAACCGGCCAUUGACCCGCAGGUCUCCGAAUGGGACAACCCGCCGCCGAAAGGCGGCAUCACGCUAGAAGCGUGAGGCGAACGCGGGGAACUGAAACAUCUUAGUACCCGCAGGAAGAGAAAACAACAGUGAUUCCCCCAGUAGUGGCGAGCGACCGGGGAACAGCCCAAACCGUCGGCGUUUCGGCGCCGUCGGGGUAGUAGGGCCGCAAUGUCGCACAAGCACCGUUAAGCGGAACGGACUGGAACGUCCGGCCAUAGCGGGUGAAAGCCCCUUACGCGCCGUCGGUGCUGGCGUAGCGGUUCCCUGAGUAGCGCGGGGCACGAGAAACCCUGUGCGAAUCCGCCGGGACCAUCCGGCAAGGCUAAAUACUCCCUUGAGACCGAUAGUGAACAAGUACCGUGAGGGAAAGGUGGGAAGCACCCCGUCGAGGGGAGUGAAACAGACCCUGAAACCAUGCGCCUACAAGCGGUCGGAGCACGCUUAUGCGUGUGACGGCGUGCCUUUUGCAUAAUGAACCUACGAGUUGCCGUCGCCGGCGAGGUUAACCGUGAUGACGCGGGGAGCCGCAGUGAGAGCGAGCCUGAAUAGGGCGUACAGUCGGCGGUGGCAGACGCGAAACCAAGUGAUCUACACUUGGCCAGGGUGAAGUCCCGGUAACGCGGGAUGGAGGCCCGAACCGAUAAGCGUUGAAAAGCUUCCGGAUGAGCCGAGUGUAGGAGUGAAAGGCCAAUCAAACUUGGAGAUAGCUCGUACUCCCCGAAAGGCAUUUAGGUGCCGCGUGGGGUGUUCCGGGCGCGAGGUAGAGCGACCGAUAGGACGCGAGGGCUUCACCGCCUGUCAAGUCCUGACGAACUCCGAAUGCGCGUCCGCAGAAGCCCUGCAGUAAGGGGGCGGGUGCUAAGGUCCGCCCCCGAGAGGAGAAGAAUCCAGACCGCCGUCUAAGGCCCCGGAAUUCUGCCUGAGUUAGUCUAACGAAGUGUGCCCCCUGGGACAGCCAGGAUGUUGGCUUGGAAGCAGCCAUUCAUUCAAAGAGUGCGUAACAGCUCACUGGUCGAGGGGGCUCGCGUGGAUAAUAAUCGGGUAUAAGGCAGAUGCCGAAGGCGCGGGAUAUCGAAAGAACGUAUCGGUAGGGGAGCAUUCCAGGUGCGCAGAAUGCAUGGGGCGACCCAUGCUGGAGCGCCUGGAAAGGCAAAUGUAGGUAUGAGUAACGACAAGGGGGGCGCGAACCCCCCCCGCCGCAAGGCCAAGGUUUCCCGGGCGAUGCCAGUCAUCCCGGGGUAAGUCGGGCCCUAAGCCUAAGCCGAAUGGCGAUGGCGAUGGCAGACACGGUUGAGAUUCCGUGACUGCCCGUGCGGGCGAUGCGGCAACGGAGAAGUGACACCGCCGCGCGCAGACGGAACUGCGCGUUGAAGGGUGUAGGCGUCGAGGGGCGCAGUUAAGCACACGCCCCGAGCCGAACCUGAAAGUACGGCGCUCCAUUCGUGGAGGGCCGAGAGUGCGGGUAAUCCGGCUCCCAAGAAACCCCGCUAAGCUUAACCGCACGGGCACCCGUACCGCAAACGGACACACGUGGCCGGGUAGAGCAUACCAAGGCGUUGAGAGACUCAUGGUCAAGGAACUAGGCAAACCAGCCCCGUAACUUCGGGAGAAGGGGUCCUCCCCCCGUGGGAGGCGCAGCGAACAGGCCCAGGCAACUGUUUACCAAAAACACAGGGCUGUGCAAACUCGAGAGAUGAAGUAUACAGCCUGACACCUGCCCGGUGCCGGAAGGUUAAGAGGAGGCGUCACCGCAAGGGAAGCGCCGAGUUGAAGCCCCGGUAAACGGCGGCCGUAACUAUAACGGUCCUAAGGUAGCGAAAUUCCUUGUCGGGUAAGUUCCGACC